GGAUUUUCUUUAAUUGGAAUUUACUGGACUUUAUCUUGCGCCAAACGUUAUUCCCUUUAUCCUGUAUUUAUACACUGUGGAUGGCUUGAUUGUAAUUAUGUACAGUGUUUCCGCUGGCUGGAUGUCACCCAAUAAAGAGCUUUGCACUGUGCCUCAAUACAUGUGACUAUAAA